UUCAAUCUUUUUUAAAUCUAUCACAUAAAUUAUCUGGAUCUAGAUUUUGCUAAAUUAAAAUAUAUUGAUACAUUAAUUCUUACUAAUUUGGAGGGAUCAAUCCCAUCUUGACUCAUGCACCAACUUGACAAGUACUUGACUGCAUCCAAAAAUCUUCCAUCACUGAAUUAAAAACUCAGUUAGUCCAACACCAAAGUACAGUGAAUUACUUGUAAGUCAUCAUGGUGAUC
rnacentral:lncRNA from 1 species